AAUCCGAGAAUUUCACCUCUGACAAUUAAAUACGAAUGCCCCCAACUGUCCCUCUCAAUCAUUACUUCGGCCCCAGAAACCAACAAAAUAGGACCGAGGUCCUCUUCCAUUAUUCCAUGCUAAUGUAUUCAGGCCAGAGCCUGCCUUGAACACUCUAAUUUUUUCAAAGUAAACGUCCCGAACUACCCGACCACUGCAGUGAAGAGCAGUCGGGGCUUUCGAGAGGAAGGGCGGCUGACCAGUACUCGUCUCGCGACGGACCAGACAGGCCGCCCCGAAAUCCAACUACGAGCUUUUUAACUGCAACAACUUUAAUAUACGCUAUUGGAGCUGGAAUUACCGCUU
rnacentral:misc_RNA from 1 species